rnacentral:rRNA from 1 species
GGAGUCUAGCAUGCGCGCGAGUCAUCGGGAACGUCGAAACCCGUUAGGCGAAGUGAAAGCGAAGGUCGCACCCUGGCGUGUCGACCGAGGGAAGAUGGGGCGGGCGCGCGAGCGUCUCCUCCGCAUUCCCGGGGCGUUUCGCGCUCAUCGCGAGCUGAGGCGCACCCAGAGCGUGCACGCUGGGACCCGAAAGAUGGUGAACUAUGCCUGGUCAGGACGAAGUCAGGGGAAACCCUGAUGGAGGUCCGUAGCGAUUCUGACGUGCAAAUCGAUCGUAUGAGCUGGGUAUAGGGGCGAAAGACUAAUCGAACCAUCUAGUAGCUGGUUCCCUCCGAAGUUUCCCUCAGGAUAGCUGGCGUCCGCGAUUCGGACGGAGUCUCAUCCGGUAAAGCGAAUGAUUAGAGUUAUUAGGGUCGAAACGGUCUUAAACUAUUCUCAAACUUUAAAUGGGUGAGAUCUUCGGCCUGCCCGAAUACGAGGCCGAAGAUCGGAUCUGGGUGCCAAGUGGGCCACUUUUGGUAAGCAGAACUGGCGCUGUGGGAUGAACCAAACGCAGAGUUAAAGCGCCUAAAUCGACGCUAAUGAGACACCAUGAAAGGCGUUGGUAACUUAAGACAGCAGGGCGGUGGCCAUGGAA